rnacentral:rRNA from 1 species
GACGAACCGUGCGAACGUUAUUCGGAAUCACUGGGCUUAAAGCGCGUGUAGGCGGGACGGCACGUCGGUCGCUGAAAGCCCCCGGCUCAACCGGGGAACGGGCGCCGAUACGACCGUCCUGGAGGGACGUAGGGGGACCUGGAACAUCCGGUGGAGCGGUGAAAUGCGUUGAGAUCGGAUGGAACGCCCGUGGCGAAAGCGAGGUCCUGGACGUUUUCUGACGCUGAGGAGCGAAAGCGUGGGGAGCGAACAGG